GUCAAAAAGAACGUAGAAUAUAAUACUCCGAGCAACAGAAAACACAAGAAAAACACUCCAUGACCGUUUAUUUUCCAUUUAAUUUUGGCUUCAAAAUCUAAUAUUUCCACAUUUGUUCAAAGGGUUCCCCAACAAAUCUCCUGAAAAUUUUCACAAGAAUAUACAGUCGAUUUCUUUUUUAGGGUUUGGGCGUUCACUCGGCAAUCGAACUCUGCUCCAUUCGUACACCAGAGGAAAAUCCAGCUUGAAAAGUGAUUGAUUACAAUGAACUAUGGAUUCAGCUUCAAGAACACUCGCCUAAAAUCAUCAACAGCUAUGCAAACAUUUCGUUUUGCAUUGUUUAUGGCCUUCGGCAUUUGGUUAUUAUACCAGAUCAAUCAAUCAUCCACAAAGAAGAGUGUCGCUAGUGAGAUCUUCUCAAUCCAUCUCAACAACCAGCGAAUUUCCAGCAUAUUGGGACGAAAAGGGCGAGUCACACCAUUGAAGUCGACUCACCGAGUCAGCUCAGAAGUGAUCCUAUAUGAUACAACGAAUAAUCCUGGUGAACUCAAUGAUAGUGUCCAAGAACAGGAAUCGAUAGCAACAGAAGUGCUGACUAAGAAGUCAAACGAUCAUGAACUUAUAGAGCCUGAAGAUGUUUAUAGAUUUCUUGAUGAAAAUGGAAUUCCUGAGGCUGAUCGUGAAAAGUUGGUUGGGAAUGAGUCGACUCGGUCGGGUAAUGAAAGUUGAAACCCAUGUAUGAGCUCAAAACAUUAUUUUCAGCCUUUUCCUAUUAGUUAGAAAGUAUAUAUAUAUACAAAAUAUUCUUACUUGUAUAUGUAUCAGAAUAAAGAUGUCUAUUAAGAUCUCCAUUUAUAUCAAAAUUACACUCAAGAUUA